GCGUGCUUAAUACAUGCAAGUCGAGCGGAGUUGAUGAGGUGCUUGCACCUCUGAGACUUAGCGGCGGACGGGUGAGUAACACGUAGGUAACCUGCCUGUAAGACUGGGAUAACUCACGGAAACGUGAGCUAAUACCGGAUAGGCGAUUUUCUCGCAUGGGAGUAUCGAGAAAGGCGGAGCAAUCUGCCACUUACAGAUGGACCUGCGGCGCAUUAGCUAGUUGGUAGGGUAACGGCCUACCAAGGCGACGAUGCGUAGCCGACCUGAGAGGGUGAUCGGCCACACUGGGACUGAGACACGGCCCAGACUCCUACGGGAGGCAGCAGUAGGGAAUCUUCCGCAAUGGGCGAAAGCCUGACGGAGCAACGCCGCGUGAGUGAUGAAGGCCUUCGGGUCGUAAAGCUCUGUUGCCAAGGAAGAACAGCCGAGAGAGUAACUGCUCUUGGAAUGACGGUACUUGAGAAGAAAGCCCCGGCUAACUACG
rnacentral:rRNA from 1 species